AGAGUUUGAUCCUGGCUCAGAACGAACGCUGGCGGCAUGCCUAAUACAUGCAAGUCGAACGAGAUCUUCGGAUCUAGUGGCGCACGGGUGCGUAACGCGUGGGAAUCUGCCCUUGGGUUCGGAAUAACUUCUGGAAACGGAAGCUAAUACCGGAUGAUGACGUAAGUCCAAAGAUUUAUCGCCCAAGGAUGAGCCCGCGUAGGAUUAGCUAGUUGGUGAGGUAAAGGCUCACCAAGGCGACGAUCCUUAGCUGGUCUGAGAGGAUGAUCAGCCACACUGGGACUGAGACACGGCCCAGACUCCUACGGGAGGCAGCAGUAGGGAAUAUUGGACAAUGGGCGAAAGCCUGAUCCAGCAAUGCCGCGUGAGUGAUGAAGGCCUUAGGGUUGUAAAGCUCUUUUACCCGGGAUGAUAAUGACAGUACCGGGAGAAUAAGCUCCGGCUAACUCCGUGCCAGCAGCCGCGGUAAUACGGAGGGAGCUAGCGUUGUUCGGAAUUACUGGGCGUAAAGGGCGCGUAGGCGGACUUGUAAGUCGGGAGUGAAAACUCGGGGCUCAACCCCGAGCCUGCUUCCGAAACUGCGAGUCUUGAGGACCGGAGAGGAAAGUGGAAUUCCUAGUGUAGCGGUGGAAUGCGUAGAUAUUAGGAAGAACACCAGUGGCGAAGGCGACUUUCUGGACGGUUCCUGACGCUGAGGCGCGAAAGCUAGGGGAGCAAACAGGAUUAGAUACCCUGGUAGUCC
rnacentral:rRNA from 1 species